rnacentral:tRNA from 1 species
GUCUUAUUACCUUAUCGUUUGGGGGUCGGUGGAAGGCUGGUUAAACCGUUUGGUUUUCGACCACUACGACCCGGGUUCGAUUCCCGCAUUGGACA